GGAGAGAUGCGAGAGCGGUCGAAUCGGACGGUCUCGAAAACCGUAGCGCUCUUGCAAGGGCGCCGAGGGUUCGAAUCCCUCUCUCUCCGUUG
rnacentral:tRNA from 1 species